AUGCCUUCGGGGUGAUGGGGACUCACAGGAGACUGCCGGGGUCAACUCGGAGGAAGGUGGGGACGACGUCAAGUCAUCAUGCCCCUUAUGUCUUGGGCUGCACACGUGCUACAAUGGCCGGUACAAUGAGCUGCGAUACGCGAGGCGGAGCGAAUCUCAAAAAGCCGGUCUCAGUUCGGAUUGGGGUCUGCAACUCGACCCCAUGAAGUCGGAGUUGCUAGUAAUCGCAGAUCACAUUGCUGCGGUGAAUACGUUCCCGGGCCUUGUACACACCGCCCGUCACGUCACGAAAGUCGGU
rnacentral:rRNA from 1 species